UGGGGAAUCUUCCGCAAUGGACGAAAGUCUGACGGAGCAACGCCGCGUGAGUGAAGAAGGUUUUCGGAUCGUAAAACUCUGUCUUUUGGGGCGAACGUGAGUAUGGUGAACAAUCAUAGUCAGUGACGGUACCAAAGGAGGAAGCCACGGCUAACUACGUGCCAGCAGCCGCGGUAAUACGUAGGUGGCAAGCGUUGUCCGGAAUUAUUGGGCGUAAAGAGCGCGUAGGCGGGAUAGUCAGUCUGUUGUAAAAGUGCGGGGCUCAACCCCGUGAUCGCAAUGGAAACAGCUAUUCUUGAGUGCAGGAGAGGAAAGUGGAAUUCCCAGUGUAGCGGUGAAAUGCGUAGAUAUUGGGAGGAACACCAGUGGCGAAGGCGACUUUCUGGACUGUGUCUGACGCUGAGGCGCGAAAGCCAGGGGAGCGAACGGGAUUAGAUACCCCGGUAGUCCUGGCCGUAAACGAUGGGUACUAGGUGUGGGAGGUAUCGACCCCUUCCGUGCCGGAGUUAACGCAAUAAGUACCCCGCCUGGGGAGUACGGUCGCAAGACUGAAACUCAAAGGAAUU
rnacentral:rRNA from 1 species